CUGCUGGGCCGGGGAAGGGAUUGGGGGGGGGGGUUUUGGAGAGGGGAGGGGGGGGGCACAGCGAUGGCUUCUGCUCUUGUUGUUGUUUCUAACUAUUCAUGCGUGGUGACAGGUUGGGAGAUGUGUGGAAAGCCAUCCCGAAGCAAAAGGAGCGCGGAUGGGGCGUGGGGAUGCAAACACAUCCCCUUGCAACUUAACCUUGGGAAAGGAGAACCGGUGCAAAUCCUAACGGCACAUCCACCAUUGUCUGAGCUGCUGUUCCUGCCAGUAAGACUUUAAUUCCUUUCUUACCCCCCACCCCGCUUCCCCCCCAGACCAAAAAAAAAAAAGGGGGGAAAUUGAAGCUGAUCUGGAAGGUCUCUUUGCUUCUCCAGCAGAAAGCAAAUCAGCCAGCUGGUAACGCUUUCCUAUCACUGUAAUUGAGUCCCGCAGAACCGCUGACGCGCUAAACAAGGGAUCUGUACAGCCUUUUAUUUUUCGCAACAAGAAAAGCAAAUGCCAGCUCAAUACGGAACUCAAAGCCCGUGGCAUUGGAAUAAAUGAGAUAUAGAACUGAAUGGGGGAAAA